UGAGCAGAGGGAAGGCUGAGAGGGCCGCGAAGUGGACACCGCCUCGGGCCGGAUUUGACAGCGAGCCAGAAGCUGGUGCAAAAAUGCUGAUGCUACAUUGGUGCCAGGAAGAGAGACGUGAGUCGGCCCUGUCCUGUACUUGCAUCCCUGCACUGGCUACCGGGCAAAGAAUACCUCUCUGAUCCUCAGACCAGCUGCUCCUGGCUGUCCCGCCGUCGAAGCUGAGGGGAACAGGCAAGGUGUUUGCUGUAGCCAAAUCAAAGCUUUGGAAUAGCUCACAAUUUAAUAUUCCCAACUCCGUGGACACACUUAAGGCUAAACUCACGAUCCGCUUGUUUUUCCCCCCAUUCUUUUGAGUGUCCCUAAGCUUUUAUUCGUAACUUUUUAGCCUUGUG